GCUACAUCACCUUGAAACACUGGUUCCCAUACAAUUACUGAAGUUAAGAAACAUUGAGCCUGGUCAGUACCUAGAUGGGUGACUGCUUGGGAAUAACAAGUUCUGUAA